rnacentral:tRNA from 1 species
AAGUAGUUAGUUUAAGAAAAACACUUGAUUUCGGCUCAAGAGCUCAUGGUUAGACCCCAUGACUGCCUA